AGGACUGUAGCUCUUAUUUUUGUUUCAUACGAGGAAUUCUUCCGCGUGUUUUCGAAAUCCUCAAAAUACUAACAUGCUGUUUCAUGAAGCAUGAGACAGCAUGUAAUCUUUGGGACAGCGGAGCAUCUGUCGUAGUUUAGCACAGAAAACGAUAAUCAUGUUGUUUGCUGUAACCGUCACUGCUGUUGCAUCCUUAAUAUCCUUAAUCAUUUUAACUAAUGCAAGCACAUUAUUAAAUACAUUUUCUUACCACUUCAGAAAAGAAAAUGAUUUUAGCAGUGAAGAGAAAAAUAUUCUAGAGGAGCAUGACAUCGCAUCCAACUUUGCUCAUGAGACCAGCGGAAAAUACUUAAAACCGAAAAUCUACAUUACUAAAUUAAGCAGCAAAGAUUAUUACAUAUGUAUUCUCAUUAAAGACACGACUAUAUCUACAGAUGAUAUUCCAUUCAAUUUUAAGUGCCAAGUCAUUGAAAAAUCCAGCGUUAAAGAAUUUUUCAGCAACCCAUCAUCAAGUAAAAAUUCAAGAAAAUUUCUUCCAUUGGCUGAUUUCAGUAUGACACCAUUUCAAUCACCUUUGUUCCAGCGAAAAACUCUAAGCCUACUCGAAACUUCUCCAGUUGGUUUGGGAAGUGGAAUACUAGGAAUUGGAGCUGUUGAUCUGGGUCAUGGUCUUGGACGAUUCAUAGCCCGAUGACAAAAAGAAACUGAAUGAACAAUGAAAUGAAAUGAAUCUAUUCGACGCUUGAUAGAGAUUCUAGAAAUG